GCGCCUGUAGCUCAGCUGGAUAGAGUACUGCCCUCCGAAGGCAGGGGUCACAGGUUCGAAUCCUGUCAGGCGCGCCA
rnacentral:tRNA from 1 species